rnacentral:ncRNA from 1 species
AAGGUUUGGUCCUAGCCUUGGAGUCAAUUCUUAUUUAAUAUACACAUGCAAGUAUCCGCACCCCAGUGAGAAUGCCCUUAUUUCCCCUCUAGGGAACAGGAGCUGGUAUCAGGCCCAAUAAUUUGCCCAAAACACCUAGUCUCGCCACACCCUCAAGGGUCUUCAGCAGUGAUAAACAUUGAGCAUGAGCGAUAGCUUGACUCAGUUAAACUUAUUUAGAGCCGGCCAAUCUGGUGCCAGCCGCCGCGGUUACACCAUCGUGGCUCAAAUUGACUCCCUUCGGCGUAAAGCGUGAUUAAAGUUCUCCAAACAACUGGAAUUCAACUAAAACUAAGCUGUGACACGCUUGUUUUUAAGAAAGUCAAAAACGAAAGUUAUUCCAACUAAUUCAACUUGAACUCACGUCAUCUGAGAAACAAACUGGGAUUAGAUACCCCACUAUGCUCAGUCGUAAACUUUAACUUACUUCCUUCUCGCCUGGGAACUACGAGCUAAGCUUAAAACCCAAAGGACUUGACGGUACCCCAUAUCCCCCUAGAGGAGCCUGUCCUAUAAUCGAUAACCCCCGUUUAACCUCACCAUUUUUAGUCAUUCAGCCUGUAUACCUCCGUCGUCAGCUUACCACGUGAGCGUUAGUGAGCCAAAUGUUUUUUCAACCACACGUCAGGUCAAGGUGCAACAAAUGAAAUGGGAAGAGAUGGGCUACACUUUCUAUAUUAGACUACACGAAAGACUUUAUGAAACCUAGUCAGAAGGCGGAUUUAGUAGUAAAAUGGAACUAGAGAGUCCUUUUUAACCCGGCACUGGGGUGUGUACACACCGCCCGUCACCCUCCUCAAUGCUAACAAACAGUUUUUAACACCUUUAAGCAACAUAGAAGAGGCAAGUCGUAACAUGGUAAGUGUACCGGAAGGUGUACUUGGAAA